rnacentral:rRNA from 1 species
UACGGGAGGCAGCAGGGGGAAUAUUGCACAAUGGGCGCAAGCCUGAUGCAGCCAUGCCGCGUGUAUGAAAAAGGCCUUCGGGUUGUAAAGUACUUUCAGUCGUGAGGAAGGUGUUAAGGUUAAUAACCUUAGCAAUUGACGUUAGCGACAGAAGAAGCACCGGCUAACUCCGUGCCAGCAGCCGCGGUAAUACGGAGGGUGCGAGCGUUAAUCGGAAUUACUGGGCGUAAAGGGCACGCAGGCGGUUAAUUAAGUUGGAUGUGAAAUCCCCGGGCUUAACCUGGGAAUGGCAUUCAAGACUGGUUAGCUAGAGUCUUGUAGAGGGGGUAGAAUUCCAUGUGUAGCGGUGAAAUGCGUAGAGAUGUGGAGGAAUACCGGUGGCGAAGGCGGCCCCUGGACAAAGACUGACGCUCAUGUGCGAAAGCGUGGGGGCAAACAGGGAUUAGAUACC